AUGGAUGCUGACGUGAGGACCAGCAGGGUGACAAGAGAGGCUGCCUGGUGGGUGACCGCGCUGGGCAGAGCCACAACCCGCUCGCCUUUCAGUUCUCCACCCAGGGGCCCCUCCUGCGAGCCACCCAUAGGGGUCCCUGGUCCCUCCCUCAGACGUCGUCUCCACCACGGCCCGAGAUCAUCUUUCUUCUCCAGUGGGUUCCUUGUCUCUUGCGUACCACCCUCUCCACCCCCACCCCCACCCCACCCCCACCCGGCUUGCCCUUGGACAGACGGCGAGAAGCUGACCGAGAGACCGAGACAGAGACAGGAGAUGAGCCGAGGCCGGUGGGCAAAUGGUGCAGAGAGGGCUUGUCCGACGCAGGGUUGCCCCAGAACUUCACACACACGCACGCACACACGGACACACACGCACAGACACACGCCCGCGCACACACACACGCACACCAGCCCCGGCCCAGCGGCCCAGCGACCCCUCUCUGUGAACGGCCUUGAGGCCACGUGCCGGGCCACGCGGAUCCCCCAGUGCCCAAGGGCACUGGCGGCCCACAGGGAUCCAAGGGCAAGGCGGGUGGGAGGCUGGCAGGGUCCACGUGCCACGAGAAGCAUGGCUUGCAGGCACGACCUCUGCCCAGAGCCUGUUUCCGCCUGGGCCGACUCCUCCGGCCGCCUCCCAGGCCCACCCUCGCAGCCCUUGGGCCUCCCGGCGGCUCUCUGCGGGCGGGACCUCAGCUGUGGGCUCCGAACCCCUGGCCCUCCCCGGACCCGCGUCCCUCCCUUCCUGUGUCCGGGAAACCCAGCGAAGCCUUCGGUGCCCGCCAGGCAGGCGGUGGGCCUGCCUUCCUCCGCUCCGUCCUUCCUGACGCGGAGGCGGCUGGUGCUGGGCCUUGCUUGGGCCCUCAGCCUGAGAAGGUCUGUCUUGCCCCAGGAGACCACCCGGCUCGUGUCCGGCCGCGCCGCCGCCAGGUCCAAGGCGGCCUUGGGGGCAGGGACAGAGCCGGCCGGGUCUUGCCUCUCCUGCGUUCGCGUGCUUGGGGCUCAGGCCUGUCACCCUCUGGCCGCCGAAGCUCUCCGUCACUGCCCCGUGGACACUGGUCGUCUGAUCCCAGACGGAGGCAGGGAGGGCCAGCUGGUGGGGCCUGCCGCUCACACAGCC
rnacentral:lncRNA from 1 species